rnacentral:rRNA from 1 species
GUAGGCGGUUUAAUAAGUGAAUAGUGAAACCUGGUGGCUCAACCAUACAGACUAUUAUUCAAACUGUUAAACUCGAGAAUGGUAGAGGUAACNUGGAAUUUCUAGUGUAGGAGUGAAAUCCGUAGAUAUUAGAAGGAACACCGAUGGCGUAGGCAGGUUACUGGGCCAUUUCUGACGCUAAGGCACGAAAGCGUGGGGAGCGAACCGGAUUAGAUACCCGGGUAGUCCACGCCGUAAACGAUGGAUACUAGCUGUUGGAGGUAUCGACCCCUUCAGUAGCGAAGCUAACGCGUUAAGUAUCCCGCCUGUGGAGUACGGCCGCAAGGCUAAAACAUAAAGGAAUUGACGGGGACCCGCACAAGCGGUGGAUUAUGUUCUUUAAUUCGAUGAUAACCGAAGAACCUUACCAGGGCUUGACAUCCAGGGAAGGUCUGCGAAAGUAGACUGUGCCUUUUGGAACCCUGUGACAGGUGAUGCAUGGCCGUCGUCAGCUCGUGUCGUGAGAUGUUAGGUUAAGUCCUUCAACGAGCGCAACCCUUGUGAAUAGUUGUAUUUUUCUAUUCAGACUGCCCCGGUAACGGGGAGGAAGGAGGGGNAUGAUGUCAGGUCAGUAUUUCCCUUACGUCCUGGGCUAGAAACGUAAUACAAUGGCUAGUACAAUGCGCAGCGAAGCCGCGAGGUGAAGCAAAUCGCAUCC